GAUGAACGCUGGCGGCGUGCUUAACACAUGCAAGUCGAACGGGAUCCAUCAGGCUUUGCUUGGUGGUGAGAGUGGCGAACGGGUGAGUAAUGCGUGACCGACCUGCCCCAUACACCGGAAUAGCUCCUGGAAACGGGUGGUAAUGCCGGAUGCUCCGACUCCUCGCAUGGGGUGUCGGGAAAGAUUUCAUCGGUAUGGGAUGGGGUCGCGUCCUAUCAGGUAGUCGGCGGGGUAACGGCCCACCGAGCCUACGACGGGUAGCCGGCCUGAGAGGGCGACCGGCCACAUUGGGACUGAGAUACGGCCCAGACUCCUACGGGAGGCAGCAGUGGGGAAUAUUGCACAAUGGGCGCAAGCCUGAUGCAGCGACGCCGCGUGCGGGAUGACGGCCUUCGGGUUGUAAACCGCUUUUGAUCGGGAGCAAGCCUUCGGGUGAGUGUACCUUUCGAAUAAGCACCGGCUAACUACGUGCCAGCAGCCGCGGUAAUACGUAGGGUGCAAGCGUUAUCCGGAAUUAUUGGGCGUAAAGGGCUCGUAGGCGGUUCGUCGCGUCCGGUGUGAAAGUCCAUCGCUUAACGGUGGAUCUGCGCCGGGUACGGGCGGGCUGGAGUGCGGUAGGGGAGACUGGAAUUCCCGGUGUAACGGUGGAAUGUGUAGAUAUCGGGAAGAACACCAAUGGCGAAGGCAGGUCUCUGGGCCGUUACUGACGCUGAGGAGCGAAAGCGUGGGGAGCGAACAGGAUUAGAUACCCUGGUAGUCCACGCCGUAAACGGUGGAUGCUGGAUGUGGGGCCCGUUCCACGGGUUCCGUGUCGGAGCUAACGCGUUAAGCAUCCCGCCUGGGGAGUACGGCCGCAAGGCUAAAACUCAAAGAAAUUGACGGGGGCCCGCACAAGCGGCGGAGCAUGCGGAUUAAUUCGAUGCAACGCGAAGAACCUUACCUGGGCUUGACAUGUUCCCGACAGCCGUAGAGAUAUGGCCUCCCUUCGGGGCGGGUUCACAGGUGGUGCAUGGUCGUCGUCAGCUCGUGUCGUGAGAUGUUGGGUUAAGUCCCGCAACGAGCGCAACCCUCGCCCUGUGUUGCCAGCACGUCAUGGUGGGAACUCACGGGGGACCGCCGGGGUCAACUCGGAGGAAGGUGGGGAUGACGUCGGAUCAUCAUGCCCCUUACGUCCAGGGCUUCACGCAUGCUACAAUGGCCGGUACAACGGGAUGCGACACGGCGACGUGGAGCGGAUCCCUGAAAACCGGUCUCAGUUCGGAUUGGAGUCUGCAACCCGACUCCAUGAAGGCGGAGUCGCUAGUAAUCGCGGAUCAGCAACGCCGCGGUGAAUGCGUUCCCGGGCCU
rnacentral:rRNA from 1 species